AACCAUAGAAACCUGCGGAGUACCUGCGGAGGGAUCAUUAUGGUAUAUGGAAUCUCCAUUCUAUAAACCCACUCUGCGUAUCUUGUAACUGUUGCUUCCAUGGGACUUGGUUCCGCCACACCGGCUUCACGGCUGGUGAGCGCCCAUGGAAGGAGAAACAAAACUCUUCUUUGAAAUGUAGUCAGUCUGAACAAGUUUUUAUAAACGUUAAAACUUUUAACAAUGGAUCUCAGAUCGGAA
rnacentral:misc_RNA from 1 species